rnacentral:rRNA from 1 species
UAGGGAAUCUUCCGCAAUGGACGCAAGUCUGACGGAGCAACGCCGCGUGAGUGAAGAAGGAUUUCGGUUCGUAAAACUCUGUUGUUAGAGAAGAACAGCGCAUAGAGUAACUGUUAUGCGUGUGACGGUAUCUAACCAGAAAGCCACGGCUAACUACGUGCCAGCAGCCGCGGUAAUACGUAGGUGGCAAGCGUUGUCCGGAUUUAUUGGGCGUAAAGCGAGCGCAGGCGGUCAAUUAAGUCUGAUGUGAAAGCCCCCGGCUCAACCGGGGAGGGUCAUGGGAAACUGGUUGACUUGUGUGCAGAAGAGGAGAGUGGAAUUCCAUGUGUGGCGGUGAAAUGCGUAGAUAUAUGGAGGAACACCAGUGGCUAAGGCGACUCUCUGGUCUAUAACUGACGCUGAGGCUCGAAAGCGUGGGUAGCAAACAGG